UUUGAGCAGACAGAUCUAUAUGAAAUCGACUUUGAAAUAGCCUUCUGUGAGGCUAAGUUUAGUUAUCUCGUGGAUGCUUUGGAUGCACCAUGCUUCAGAUGUUAAUGACCCUGGGUUAAGCUUCGAGGAGACCUGAGAGAAAGGAGUGCACUUUUGAGGCCCCGUGGGGGUGGCAUCUGCGGAAGGGACGGGCGCUCCCUGCGGACCAGAGCUUGGGGUUUCUUCACCACACAGGUCUGCUUUCUCCCAAAAUGGCGGCUCUGUCUCCGGAGCGCAGGUCCCUGCAGGGAUUCGCGGGGGAAUGGAGAAGUCCAGCCCACUCUACACGCUGUCACUGGGCCCCCAACAAAGCCCUGCCCCUCUGGAAGCUGGGCGCUUGGUUUGGGGCCAGUGCAGCCCCUCUCAGUCCCCGCUGGCCCGGAGGCCCGGAUGCUGAAAUGAAAAACUUGUCAGGAAAUUCGCCCCUGUGGAUUCCAGGUUAAUUCCUGUCCACGCUCGGCUCAAACGCUUGGUAAAGUAAUUUUAUUUUACCUCACAGAUCUAUCGAACCCUGGUUUCAUCUCUGCUUCUAUGGAAGCUGCUAUGAGUGACCGAAACAAUGGUCAAACGAUCGGGGCAAAGACAAAGGCCCAAAUGGGUGUUCUUAGGCAGCACCAGGUUGGCCGCCGGCAGAGAUGAGUCCUUUGUAACUGCGCCUCGGGGACCUCGCCUUCCACCAUCCAGACUCCUUUUUCUCCUCAUACGCCGCAGUGUGGGACUUUGUUAAACUUCCACUGAAACCGGAACUUCCUACAGACGGUCUCAACUGCUCGUGGAAGUGUGCUCCGGUGACACUAGCAGGAGGAUCAUGGAAGAUUCGAGGCCAGCCUGGGCUUCAUGUGGCAAGAGGAGCACCUGACUCAGAGAGGCGAGUCCACGGUUUCCCCAGAAGAACACACCCUGCAGGAGCAGGGUCCAGGCCCAGCAAAAGCUGCCUCCUAAGCUUUGACCACCACCCAGCCAGCACCCACCAGGCAGCAAAACAAUGUGUGGCUCCCUGAAUUCUCCGAGGAUCCCGAUGCUGCUGCCUGGGGACUGCGCCUCCCGGUUACUUCCUAGGGCCACCAGGGUCUCACUGUGUAACCCAGGCUGGCCUUGAACUUGGGGCGACCCUCCUGCCUCAGCCUACUGCGUGCUGGGAUUACAGGUGUGUACCACCACACCUGGGUUUCAUUAGUCAUUUUAAGAUUUGGUGCUACAUGGGUUGAUGAGGACUCUGUUACCUAUUGUGAGAUACAAAUAACUCCCAAGAACCCACCCCAGGCACUCCAGGAUAUUACCCACUGAAUACUCUCUGGAGCUGAUGGAAGCCGUUGGAGUCCAUAGGACAACGCAACAGCCAGGCAAGCAGUGGCCAGGUCUUGAAGCUCUUGGAAGAACUGAAAGUUGAGCCAGCUCCUCAAAGGCAGAUACAACAUCAGGAGUUCCAGAAGGGGAGUGAUGUGGGCCGAGACUGGAGCGGAAACUGAGCUGGAAGACAAAGGCAGGAGAGAGACUGGGCAGGGUCACCAAAAGAGGCCUGCAAGUCAGCCAGGGGACUUCAGCUGUGGCAGGGAUGGGAAAGCAGAGCUCUGGAGACUUUCAGCUGUAAAGUGGUGAGAGGGAAAUGUGUUUAAAGAGCUGGGCAUGUAGUGUACGCCUGUACUCCCAGCACCUAGGAGGCUGAGGCAGGAGGAUCACUAUGAGUUCAAAGCCAGCCUGGGCUACAUAGUGAGUUCAAGGCUGGCCUGAGUUACAUAGUGAGACCUUGUCUCAAAAAAAACAAAGAAUGAAAGAAGGAAGAAAAGGAGGAAGGAAAACAGGAAGGCAAGAAAAAUUCCAUUGAUUCGGCAGGGAGGAAUUCUAAGGGAGAUAGAAAGGUGCUCCUUGGGUGAUUGCUUCUUGUUGUUUUAAUUUUUAUGAGCACGUUUGCAGCCCAUAAGGAGCAUUCGUGGCUGGAGUCUGAUUUGGUUUCACUUCCCCUUCCACCCGCUCCUGCUGUCCCCAGCCCCCUGCCCUGGGCAGAUCUGCCUGUGCUUUAUGGACCCUGGCUCUCACGCCUGGCCAUUUUGCCAACGUGUGAACUGUCUCAUUCAAACAGCGAACCUAACGUCUUAGGUUCAUUCAACAUAACAGUGUUUCAGCCUUGGAUAUGAAAACGCUCUGUGCGGUUUCCCAGCCGCUCCCACUGCUUCAGGACAGGAGGCCGUGAGUGUGUGGGGCCCAGCUUUUCCCAGGGCCCGGCUGACUCCGAGCCGGGCGAUCACCACCCUGGCAGACAGCAGAUGGAUGUGGAGUCAGCCUGGGCGGCUGGGGGAAGUCACAGGGCCCAAGGGACUCAGUGAGGACCCAGCACAGUGGCCCUGGAGACGUCCACAGUGAGUCUGCCUGAGGGGAACCGGAAGAAAGAAGGGCCAGCUGGGCUGGAGCAGGGGCCGGUGCAGAGGCUGGAGGAGGCAGCACUGGGCCGAGGCUGCUGGCACUUCCUGAGGGCCCCACCUCCCUGCCAGGGGUCUUGGUGACAUUAACACCCUCAGCGCCUCCAUGUCCUCUGUUGUCAAUCUCCUCAUCCUAUCCUAUAUUCGUCUCAGUGUCCAUGGCGUCGGCCCACACCCUCCGCAGACACCUGAUUCCAGGUGCCUCGAGCCUCGAAUAGCGUGGCCUAGUAGUCCAAGCUGGUCUUGAACUCACUAUGUAGCCCAGGGUGGCCUGGAACUUGUAGCAGUCCUCCUGCCUCUGCCUCCCGAGUGCUGGGAUUAUAGGCCUGCACCACCACACCUGGUAGGUGGAGUAUUUUCAUGUGAGCUCCAAACACCUGCCCUCUCAUGUGCUUUAAAUCACCUCCAGCCCCUAAUGGCGGGACACCAUACUGAGGGCUGGUACCCUCUGUUGUGUAAGGAAUAAUCAAGGAAAACGCACUGUGCAGUUCAGUAGGAUGCAGGGCUUUUCACAUACUUUCCAUCUGCAGCUGGCUGAACUGAAGGUCCUGCAUUCCCAGGUGGGAGUGCCCCCUGACGGCACCUGUGCUGUGCGCGGCCAUGCCUUGCGGUCAAGGUCCCCUGAAUGUGCUCGGCGCCCCCAUCAUCUUGAGGCUGGACCUCUCUGCUCUGAGGACCCGUUCGUUCCCAGGCUUCCUCCAGCCGAGCCCAGCCUCCCUUCACCCAGUUCCUAGCCCAGGCACCUCCCUCUGCCUGGCCCAGGGCUUCACUACCGAUUCCCACUGUGACUGCCACACUGCGCUUAAGCAUUUGUGGUCGAUGAUGCUUGUUUCAUUCCUCCUAAGCCCUUCAGACUUCCAAGCCUGCUCGUCCUGACCCUGAGCCUGCUCCCCUCUUUCUCAUCUCAGGGUGGGCAACCCAGCGGUGAGUCACCCUUACCCAGAGCCCAGGAGGCCUCUGGACUCCUUUCUCUGCUCACAUUCAGAUGGUGGACAACUCUGGUAGGCUGAAGCAGGAAGAUCUCAAAUUCAAGCCCAACCUGGACAACUUAGCAAGCCCUCCUCACAAAAUCAACAGUAAGAAAAGGGCUGGGGAUAUAACUCAGUGGGAGGUGCCUAGGUCAUUCCCAGUACUGCGGCACACAAACAGAAAGUGGCUAAGUCCCAUUAAUUGUAUCAACUUCACUUCUCUUAGUUUCCUCUCCAUAUCCGAAUUUUUCUUUGGUUCUUUUUUGAAACAGGAUCUCACUAUGUAGCCCAGGCUGGCUUUAAACUCGAAGCAAAUCCUCCUGCCUCAGCCUCCCUAAUGCUGGGAUUGCAGGCGUGUGCACCACCACAUCAGCUUCUGAGUCCAUCUUUAUGGCUAAUAUCGAAAUCCCAGAGGCAGGGUAUAUAGUAAGGAAAGCUCACAGUUUCAGAGGCUGGAGGCCCACAUAGCCUGUGGAAGCUCUGGUGGGGCCCUGGGCUACGUCACAUCCCGGAGUCAGGCACAGAGAGGAGGCUGCUGGGUCCUGCGGUCCCUUCUGAGGACUGGUCUGUCCUGACCUCAUGGUCUCCCACAAGACCCUGCCUCUAGAGCUGGGCGUGUUGGCACAUGCCUGUAAUCCCAGCACUCGGGAGGCUGAGGCAGGAGGAUUGCUGCAAGUUUGAGGUCAGCCAGGACUACAUAGUGAGUUCAGUGCCAGCCUGAACUACAAAGGGAGACCCUGUCUCACCCCCCCCCCCAAAAAAAGACCCCACCUCUUAAAGAGGCCACCACCUACAGUAGUGCCCACCUGAGGACCAAGGCUUCAGACAUGGCCUUUGAGGGGGCAUACAUAGGACACCCAAACCUAGCACCCAAAACCUCAAUCCUGUUUUGUGAAGGAAGUGUCCUGGAUCCUUUUCCAGGUUCCUCUCUGCCCUGGUGCUCAGGAUCUAAGGUUCCCUUAUACUUUGUUCCAGGAGCCGGUACUCAUCUGUCUCUCACUUUCUGUUUCUCCUAUUUUUUCCUUCUUCUUGCCUAUGAAUCAGCUCUUUCUUCCCUACUGAAAUGAAACAAAGUAGCUGGGGUGAUGGUGCAAGCUUAUGAUCCCAGGGCUCUGGGAGGCUGAGGCAGAUCUCAAGUUGGAGCACACCCUAGGCAAUUUAGCAACUUAGCAAGACCCUGUAUUAAAAAUUUUAAAAAUUUAAAGGGC